ACGAAGGGUGCAAGCGUUACUCGGAAUUACUGGGCGUAAAGCGUGCGUAGGUGGUUCGUUAAGUCUGAUGUGAAAGCCCUGGGCUCAACCUGGGAAUGGCAUUGGAUACUGGCGACCUAGAGUGCGGUAGAGGGGUGUGGAAUUCCCGGUGUAGCAGUGAAAUGCGUAGAUAUCAGGAGGAACACCCGUGGCGAAGGCGAAUCUCUGGACCGGUUCUGACGCUGAGGAGCGAAAGCUAGGGGAGCAAACAGGA
rnacentral:rRNA from 1 species